rnacentral:lncRNA from 1 species
UACUAUUAAUAUUACUACUCUUACUACUACUACUAUUAGUACUACUACUAUCAUUACUACUACUACUACUACUACUACUAUUAAAACUACUACUAUAAAUAAUACUACUUCUAUUAAUACCACUGCUACAAAUACUAUUAAUAUUACUACUCUUACUACUACUACUAUUAGUACUACUACUAUCAUUACUACUAUUACUACUACUACUACUAUUAAAACUACUACUAUAAAUAAUACUACUUCUAUUAAUACCACUGCUACCAAUACUAUUAAUAUUACUACUCUUACUACUACUACUACUACUACUAGUACAACUACUAUCACUACUACUACUACCACUACUACAACUAUUAAAACUACUACUAUAAAUACUACUAUUUAUUUUAAUACCACUGCUACCAAUACAACUAUUAAUAUUAUUACUCUUACUACUACUACUAUUAGUACUUCUACUAUUAAAACUACUGCUAUCACUACUACUACUACUACUACUACUAGUAAUAUAACUACUACCACCACUACUACUAUUACAACUAAUGCUACCACUAUCACUACAACUACUACAAAUGCUACUACAACUUUUACUUUUCCUAUUAAUACUUCUAAUAGUACCACUACUAUUAUUGAUAAUUCUAGUACUACUACUACUACUACCACUAUUAUUAUUAAUACUACUGCUGCAACUACUUCUACUACAAUUACUAAUAUUAAUACUACUACUGUCACUACUACUACUGCCACCUCUAUUUAUAUUAGUAUUACUGCUGCUGCUACUUUUAUUGGUAUUGCCACUGUUAAUACUACUAUUGUUGUUGCUAGUACUACCACUAGAACUACUACCACUAGUAGUAUGUCUGCAACUAGUUCUACCACCACUACUAUCAAUACUGCUGCUACUACUGCUAUUGCCACUAUUACUAAUAAAACUAUUACUGCUACUACCAUUACUAUUGCUGCUACUAGCACUUCUACUUCCACCACCAUUACUACUACUACUACUACUACUACUACUAAUAAUAAUAAUAAUAAUAAUAAUAAUAAUACGUUACAAGCAGUGGAAAUGAACCGUUAAUAGACGUUUACUGACUGCGCACUGAAGAAACGGAAUCUAUUUUAU